GUAAACAAUCUGCAAUAUUUUGCAAUAUUUUUUUUUGCUUUUUGUGUGUGGAAUUGUUUUGGUGGCAAUGAGAGCAUUGAAAAGUUGAAAGCUCAAGAGAAUAAAUCGACUCUCGGUGUCGGUUGCUGACGGAGAUAUUUUUCCCGCGUUUUGCAGCUAGAGACGUCGGUUAAUCGUUCGAUCAAUUCAUAUAAUCGAAUAUCUGCAUCAGUAAUUUUAUAUCGAAUAAUUAAAAACCAAGAAAAAACAGUGCAAAAUUUGUUUAACCGUCAUGGUGUUUCGUCGAAAUUCAUCGAAUAUGCUAAAUCAUUUACGGUUGAGGCAUGAAAAUGAUUCCUUGGUGGUGAAGGAAACUGGGAAGAAGAAUUUAGGGUCUGCAGGAGUAAAAUGCGGACUUGAAGAAGGUGGUC